AGAGCUGGCCUAUGCUUACAAAAGGAGUGGUGUAAAGGCUGGCAGUCCUCGGUCCUGCUGCCCUGUUUGUGAUCAACCACAUUAUCAAGUGUCACAAGCCAGAGAUUGUAGGGGCAGAAGAAUUCUGGGAACUAAAGAGAAUUAGUUCUAGAAUUCUAGAAUUGUAGGCCUUCACAAUUCUAGGAACUAAAGAGAAAGCCAAGUGCCUAGUGCAAUGUUUUCUAUUGUUCAGGGAGUGAGAUUAGUCCUGUGCAUUCUGUUCACACAGCUGCCAAGUACCUCCAACAGGGCUUGUUGAGUGAUGAGAUUUCAGCAGAAUCAAUCUUGGCACCAUCUCCAUCUUCUACUGGGCCAAUUUAAUAUAAAGAAGCAAACUGGAGAAAGAGUGAACGAGAGGACUCUUUGUGCAGUAGUGCAGUGGUCUUUCUCCCCUCACUAAUCCUCCUCAAAAAAAUGGGGUAUUUCUCUCCCUGCCCCCAAGCCAAGAGGGAGACUCCAAGAGAAUCACUUAUAAAACUUGCCAUGAUUGUACAACAUCUUUAAAAUCCAAGAUGGUGAUGGAAUGCCAUCUUGAUAGUUUUCAAGCCACUGGCUGCUGUUAAGGUGUGGAGGAAGGGUCAGGAGAGAGAUGGGUGGUGUGACAUGGGGCAAAGGCAUAAGUAUGAAGAGGUGUGAAAACAGGAUCCCAAUUGGUCCUGCAGGCCCUGAACACUGAGCUCAAAGAGAUGAGUUUGCAGGCUACAGACUUCUGAGUGGGACAGGGUAGGUAUGCACCAGAGGAGUUGAUAAGAAGCUAUCAGCUUACCUGCUGGGCACGGUGUCUUACACCUGUAAUCCCAGCACUUUGGGAGGCCAAUGGGGGCAGAUCACGAGGUCAGGAGUUCGAGACCAUCCUGGCUAACACAGUGAAACCCCGUCUCUACUAAAAAGUACAAAAAAUUACCCGGGCGGGGUGGUGGGUGCCUGUAUUCCCAGCUACUCGGGAGGCUGAGGCAGGAGAAUGGCGUGAACUCAGGAGGCGGAGCUUGCAGUGAGCUGAGAUUGCACCACUGCACUCCAGCCUGGGUGACAGAGCAGGACUCCUCUGACUCAAAAACAACAACAACAAAAAAGAAGCUAUCAGCUUAUCUCAUAAAGGGUUCCACCUCCUAAGAAUUGUCCACCAGCAUCCACUGUUGGGCUUCAAGAAAAUGAGCUAGGGCAGCAAUUAGGGCCCAGAUGUGGGGAGGACUGGAACUCUCCAUGGGCAGAGCAGAAAGGAGACUCCUCCAUUUUCUUCAUUUUCUUGGAUCAACACCAUAAGCAGGUGCAAGUGAAAGAGGAGAUGGUGUUUGAGGAGCAGAAGACCCCCCACCCUUCUUCUCCUGCUCUUAUGUGCCAGUAGCACUGGAUUAGGGUGGGAUCAGGGAUGGAAAGAGAUGGAAAUAUGAAUUAAAUAUGAGGUCAACAUGUUAAAAGCAGCAGGGCUGAAUCGUAGAACGUGUUUUAAGAAAAGUGAUUUAAACGUCAUGGAAUUGAGCCAACAGAGGCUCAGUGGAAGCUAUCACCCUGUGGAAAAGAGAGAGAGGGUUCCAAGAAGUUGAGUUGAAAGUUGUGAGCAGGAAAAUAAAACCAAUUGAUGUUUAUACCCUAACAAGUUAAGGCAAGAGUAUGUGUUGUGAGAAAAUAGGAAAGGCAAAGAUGAUUUUUGACCAGAGAGUUAUCAAGAAGGCUUCAGGGAGAAGGUAGGGGUUGGGUCCUACCACUGAAGGAUAGGUCGUGGGUGAAUGAAGUGGGGAGAACAGGUGAGCUGUGUGAGGUGGAGGGAGGACCAGUCUGCCUGGAGCAGAGGCAUGGGGAGUGUGACAAAUUGCACCCAUGCGCAGACCUGGGCCAGUGGUGCCCAAGCUUCCACAGGAGGAAUUUGGCCUCCAUCAGAAAGACAAUGGGAGUCAUUGCAUAUUCUUUAGCACUGAGUGAGUGGUCCAAUAGGAAGGGUGACUUAGGAAGAUGGCUGGUGUGUGAGACAGAGAAGAAGCAAAGGUGCUCCUUAGGAAGUUAUUCCAAACCUCUGGUGUGGGGCUAAGGGACACAUCAAUACGAGUGUGACUUGUUACUCCUGAAUCUUUCCUCAGCCCCAUUUAUUGACUGCGAAUAGUGCAGUGUGCACUUAAGGCCCUUCGUUUUAAGUAUUUAAAGGGUUCACUGGGUAGGCAGGCUCUGCAGCCUGUUGACGGCUAUCCAUUCAUAAGCUGCAUGUCCCUACCUGGGCAGCAAUCAGCUUUGGAGCACCCCGUUCAUCACACAUUUUAUUUAUGUUACUUUUCGUUCUCCCGUUAUCUAUAAUUUUAAACUGCUGUGUGCUCCCCCAACCUUGCCUUGAAAUGCAUUAGUAACUAUGGGAACGUGAUGCUAUUAGAACGAGCAGAGCUUAGUGACAUGCACAAUUGCAGGGUUAAAUUGGUUUUGAGAUGACUGGCAGUGUGGAUGCUAUUGCUGAGUAAAAUAGGCGACAGGUAUUGUGACUACAUUAACAUAGACCAUCACCUCUGGUGGAAGACAUGGAUAUUAAACUAAAGACAGAAAUCAAGGCUACAUCCUUAUCUUAAAGAAGACAUGUUCCCAGAGGUUUUAAAUAGCGUGAAAAGUGAACUAUUGAGAGUUCCAGUAAGAAGGAGACUUUUCAUAUGCUAAAACCAACAAAAUUUCCCCAAAAUAUGACUGCACAUAUGUUUGAUGAAAAUACAUGAAGAAUUGGGUGUGCUUUUAGGGUAUGAUCAGAAAUAUUGCCUACUUGUCCUUGAAAUCUGGACACCUGGAAGCCCCUGGUGUUGAUGAAUUCCCCAUGAACCAAGUUUGGCGGCAGGGCGUCAAAUUUUCCAAACAGUCUUGUGUUCUGAAACCUACCAGGAUGAGCCAGACAAACAUUAAGAAAGGGGAUGUAUACCUACACACAAGUCAGCAGUGGCCUGGAAAUUCUCCCUGCUCUUGUCAGAAGUACCUGAGCUCAGGAUAUCUAAGGCUGGGAUGCACAGGACAUCCCUGCAGCCUUCCUUCAGUUCAUCACAUGUGAAUAUCUGCUAUAACUUGAUGCAAUACUCUUGAUUGGAAUGACUCUUGACACAUUUUAUACAAAAAUAAACUAUGAAUAGUAUGUGGGGUUUUUAAUUAAAAUGAGUUUGGUUACCAAAAAAAUUAUUCAUUUCUGGGCUUUAUGUGUUUGAAUUCUUAUUUGAAUGGUAUGUUUUGUAAUAUAAAACAUUAAUGAAAGUUUACACAUGAAUUAAAAGGGGUCAGGCAUAAAUAGUUUGAUGCCCAGAUUUUCUUGCUUUCAUAUAAGGAUCCCACUCCUUCACCAAAUUGUUUUUAUCAAGUUUAGUCAUCCAAUUUCUUUUCAUGAAGUGAAAUCCUUUAUAUUCUAGUCCUUUAACCCUCUCAAUUGUACCGUAUUUACCCAUAAACUUGUGCAUUACAAUUACUUGGAACUGGUCUGUUGUAGAAUAGUGCUCCCCACCUAGUGUAGUGGGUUAGUUUCAACCAGUAUUUGCCAAUGUUCACUGUGGUACAAGCACAGUUUUUCAGAGUGUCUUGACAUCUGCUAUGAGGAAUGUCUCCACCUGCCAAAUGGGACCAAGGCUUCCAUGCUCAAUAAACUUCCACCUGCCCUAGAGAUGCAGUAAUUUCCCUCCAGCAAUCAGAGCACAGUCAGACCCAGAUGUCUGAGUUUUCUUUUCGAAAAUAUGACCAUUGUGAUACAAACCCAUUGGGUAAAAUUUUAAAGUAAUAAUAAAAUUGUGGUUGAUUGUUGUGAAAACUUCCUUACCCUUAAGUGCUUAGUACUAUGUAUGAUCUGAGAUUUCCUCUGGGGAGAUCAAUUUUUUUCCCCUGGAUUUUAUGAUUGUUUAUUUCCUGGUUUCCACAACCAAGUUUAUUCAGAAGCUUAAAUGUGAAACUGUUCUCAAAAUUAUGUAUCUUUUCCUUGAUUUCUUUAUUAACGCUUUGUGGAGUUGGCCUUGCCAGGUAAAGCCUCAAGGAGCUUUGAAGCUGGCCUGAGAUAAAAUGGGAAUGGAGUGAAAAUGUGUCUGGGUAGUACUCCUGCAAUCCAACCCCACUUAGGCAUCAUUUCUCACUCCUUCAUCCUGUCGUACCCUACUCUUUUUACUUUGGAAGAUGGAGUAAAUGCACACACAGUGGGAAACUUCAAACAGUAAAAAAGAAUACAUAGUUACAAGUAAAUUUCCCCCUUUUGGCUGUCCUGAGUUCCUCCAUGUUGGACCGUAACCAGUUUUCUAUGCAUUCUAACAGUCCACACACAUACCAGUAUACAAACGCACAUAGAAACACACACACACACACACACACGUGUAUAGCUUUUUCUUAUAAAAUGGUGACAUACUAUACACAUUGACCUUCGUCUGGCUUUUUUAUUUAAUAAUAUAUCUUAAAAUCUAGUCGUAUCAGUAUGUAUUGCUUCAUUUGUUUUAGAAGACUAUUCUUUGUGUAGCUAUAUUAUAAUUGACUCAGAGACUUCAUAUCAAUGAAUAUUUAAAUAGUUCCUAGCUCUUUUCUGCACACACACACAAUAGUUGUACUGAAUAGUGCAACACAUGCAUUUUUAUAUACAGCUAUGAGUAUAUUUAUAAGAGAUGUAAAAUUGCAGGGUCAAAAUGAAUGUCCAUUUUAAAUUUUCAUGCACAUUGACAAAUUAUUCUUUAAUAAAAUAGCUUCCAAAUACACUCCUAGUGAUAAUGUUUGAGAAUGCCUAUUUGCCACACUUUAGUAACUUUUUGAUAUUUGCUAACAUGACAGGUAAAAUGUGAUAUGUCAAUGAAGUUUUAAUUUGCAUCUUUUCACAUAUUUAAAAUUCACUUUUUUUUUCUCUUAACUUUCUGUGAAUGUGUUCAUUUAUCAAUUAGUUGUUGGUCUUUUCAUGUUGAUGUGUUUGUGCUCUUUAUAAAAAAAUUAUCUUUUUAGAUAUCAGGCAGAAAACAAAUGAUAUUUUCCCAGAAAAAUUUAGUUUGUAUGUAUUCAAAUGUAUUCGGUUUUCGGGUUUGUGUCAUGCUUUAAAAACCCUAAAAGCCCUUCUAGAUUAAUUUUUAAAUACCAAAUUUUCUUCUAAAACUUUUAUGGUUUUAUUUUUUGCAUUUAAAUUCCUGAUCAAUUUUGGAAUUUAUUUUGGCAUAAUGAGUGUCUUUCUCCCUUUAUUUUAAAGGAAAAAGAACUUUCCCCAUUGUGGCAGCACAGGGUCAGGGAAAUAGAAAUACAGAGUUAAGUGGACACUACACCAUCAGUAGGUAACCUUCCCUGACCAGUGGAUUUAUCUCCCUGGCUCUAAGCUUUUUGACAAAUGAAUAUGUUGAUAGAAUGAUGCUCCCCAACAUCAAGGAGUUGGAUGAAGGAACCACCUUGGAAGGGCCUUCUCUUUCCUAUCGGAUCUUACUUGCAGAAUGCUCUUGAGUCAUAUGGACCUAGGGGCAAAACCUGGCUUUACUCUUGUCAGUUGUGAUGAGUUGUUUUAUCUCAGCCUCAGUUUCUGUAUCUGUGAAAGUUAAGGACAACAGUUCCAACACAUCGUGAUUGUUAUGAGUUAAAUGAGAAAAAGUGUAUGAUAUUUCCUGGCACAGUGCCCAGCAUCUAAAAGCUGCCCAAUAAAUGUGCAUUUAAUCCUUAAUUUUCCUUUGAUUUUUUUCCACUUAAGUUUUUCUCAUACCAAUAGAAAUCAACACCGGUUGGAAAUCACAGCCCCAGCUUCCUGUUUUGGCCUUCUUCUCACAACUUAGUCCUUUCACCCACUCUUCUGGUAUCUGGGACCCUGGCCUCUAUACCCAUCAGAACUCACUGUGGAAUCAUGUGGACUUUAAUGUGAACCACUAAGCUUGAACCUGAAAUUACACCUGAAUUUCCCCAACCUCAGGCUUUCUCGUAUCAGUACUGCCAUCAUUGCACUGGUUCCCUGAUCAUUUCCUUGACUCCAGCCUUGCCCUUCUUUCCCAAAUGCAUGCUAGAGCCUGCUGCUAAAUUGGUCCUCCAGAAAUAAAUCGGAUCACAAUGCUUUCCUGCUUAAAGGCUAAAACCCCAGUGGCUUUGCAUGACAGACAAUGCCCUCCAUGAUCUCCCUCCUGCUGGCAUCUGGAGCCUUUGAUUUCUUGUGGAUUUCCUGAACACACUAUUAAUUUUCCUGUCUCAGUGACUUUAUCCUUGGCAUUCCUUCAAUCCAGGAUGCAUUUUGCCUUAUUUUUUAGUCUAGAAAAUGCUUAUUCCUCAAGAGCCUACUCCAGCUUCCUCCUCCUGUGUGUUUAUACACCCUCCCCUUUCCCUCUGUCAUUACCUUGCUUUUACUUCUGCCUCUAACCAAGGAAAGUGGCUACUCCCUCUUUGAGUCACCACUUUAUACAUACGCCAAUCACGACACCAGCUGACACCUCCAUUACUCCUCACAUACUAUGAAAUUAUUUACAUACGUGUCUGGUCUUCCCUUGACUGUGAGUUCCUUGCCAUUGAGGACUAUAGCUCUAUUUACUCCUAUCGCAUGUCCUUGCACAUAUUAAACACUAAAAUUAUUUGUUAAACAUAUUAAUCCAUCAAUAUCCAGACAUUAUCUAGAUUUCCAGGUAAGGAAGUAAUUGUCUUAGGCUUUCCAGACUCUGGAACAUAUCAU